UUUAUUAUUAUUAGAAGAAAAAAUGGCAAUAUUUCAUUAAACAACUGUUUUAAACAAUUUAAAUUUAAUAAUUUUAGGCCCAAGCCCAGCCCAUUAAAAAAAUUUUUUAAAAACCCAAGCCCGGCCGAGACCAGCUGAUAGUGCAGGGUAUGGGCAUGUGGGCCGCGGGUCGGCCCGGCCCAUGAAGGUCUCUACUUUGUAUUGCUAUUUCCUAAAUCAGUUGUGCCAACCUCAAAAAGGAAGCCGUGUUAUGAACGUGAAAUGAGUAGACAUAUGCACCACCAGCUCACGGCACGUCCGCUAAAAAUUUCUCCAUGCCAGGUAGCCACUGAUCAAGAUUAGCCACGCAAGCUUGCCACCGAAUAUUUAGGGCGGCGAAGCAUGAUGGGGCACUAGAGCACAAUUAUUACGGACCCAUGGUAGCAGACUAAAACAAUGGUCUUCCAUUAGUUGGGAUUAAACUGCACCUAUAUUUCGGCGCGAUCCAAAUAAAUGCCUUAGCAAUCAAUUUGGUAUUCAGAAAUCGUUAAGUGACGAUCGUAAUGAAGCCUUCUAUUUCAAAAGCCGUUACAAUGGCUAUUAGUCAAAGUAAUUGCUUUGAUAUUCCUGGCCAUAUAGCUAUGCAAGUAUUUUCCGAUGUCCUCGAUACGUCAUUCGUGACGUCAUGUCAUCGGCACGGAUUAUGACAGGUCCUGUCUUAACCUCUCAAAAUGAUUGUACAGUUGCUGAUUUAUCUGUCAUUAAUAAAAGAAAAAUAUGGCAGGUUA